CUGGACAGCCAUACCACCCUGAAUGCACCCAAUCUCAUCUUAUCUCAGAAGCUAAGCAGGGUUGGGCCUGGUUGGUGCGUGGAUGGAAGAAAUAAGGGACUCAAAGACUGUCUUCU
ensembl:rRNA 5S_rRNA 5S ribosomal RNA